ensembl:lncRNA
GGGGGCGCUGCAGUUCUAACUGUGCUCCAAGAAACACCAACGAAUGAACGACGGUCCGAAGGGAGAAGAGGACGGAGCCGCUGAACGGAGCCGGAUUUACCGGCAGAUUAGUAACGGGCUGCUAGAGAGCGACUCGUUAGCUCUAGUAGCCUGGUUAGCUGUGUUAGCUCUAGUAGCCUGGUGAGCUGUGUUAGCUCUAGUAGCCUGGUUAACUUGUGUUAGCUCUAGUAGCCUGGUCAGCUGUGUUAGCUCUAGUAGCCUGGUUAGCUGUGUUAGCUCUAGUAGACUGGAUAGCUGUGUUAGCUCUAGUAGCCUGGUUAGCUGUGUUAGCUCUAGUAGCCUGGAUAGCUGUGUUAGCUCUAGUAGCCUGGUUAACUUGCGUUAGCUCUCGUAGCCUGGUUAGCUGUGUUAGCGCUAGUAGUCUGGUUAGCUGUGUUAGCUCUAGUAGCCUGGUUAGCUGUGUUAGCUCUAGUAGCAUGGUUAGCUAUGUUAGCUCUAGUAGCCUGGUUAACUUGUGUUAGGUCUAGUAGCCUGGUUAGCUGUGUUAGCUCCAGUAGCCUGGUUAGCUGUGUUAGCUCUAGUAGCCUGGUUAGCUGUGUUAGCUCCAGUAGCCUGGUUAGCUGUGUUAGCUCUAGUAACCUGGUUAGCUGUGGUAGCUCUAGUAGCCUGGUUAGCUGUAUUAGCUCUAGUAGCCUGGAUAGCUGUGUUAGCUCUAGUAGCCUGGUUAACUUGUGUUAGCUCCAGUAGCCUGGUCAGCUGUGUUAGCUCUAGUAGCCUGGUUAGCUGUGGUAGCUCUAGUAGCCUGGUUAGCUGUGUUAGCUCUAGUAGCCUGGAUAGCUGUGUUAGCUCUAGUAGCCUGGUUAGCUGUGUUAGCUCCAGUAGCCUGGUUAGCUGUGUUAGCUCUAGUAGCCUGGUUAGCUGUGUUAGCUCUAGUAGCCUGGUUAGCUGUGUUAGCUCUAGUAACCUGGUUAGCUGUGUUAGCUCUAGUAGCCUGGUUAGCUGUGUUAGCUCUAGUAGCCUGAUUAACUUGUGUUAGCUCUAGUAACCUGGUUAGCUGUGUUAGCUCUAGUAGCCUGGUUAGCUGUGUUAGCUCUAGUAGCCUGAUUAACUUGUGUUAGCUCUAGUAGCCUGGUUAGUUGUGUUAGCUCUAGUAACCUGGUUAGCUGUGUUAGCUCCAGUAGCCUGGUUAGCUGUGUUAGCUCUAGUAGCCUGAUUAACUUGUGUUAGCUCUAGUAACCUGGUUAGCUUUGUUAGCUCCAUUAGCCUGGUUAGCUGUGGUAGCUCUAGUAGCCUGGUUAACUUGUGUUAGAUCCAGUAGCCUGGUUAGCUGUGUUAGCUCCAGUAGCCUGGUUAGCUCUAGUAGCCUGGUUAACUUGUGUUAGCUCUAGUAGCCUGGUUAGCUGUGUUAGCUCUAGUAGCCUGGUUAGCUGUGUUAGCUCUAGUAGCCUGGUUAGCUGUGUUAGCUCUAGUAGCCUGGUUAGCUGUGUUAGCUCUAGUAGCCUGGUUAACUUGUGUUAGCUCUCGUAGCCU